GAUGAACGCUGGCGGCGUGCUUAACACAUGCAAGUCGAACGGAAAGGCUCCUGCUUGCCUGGUUUCUCGAUUGGCGAACGGGUGAGUAACACGUGUGUGAUCUGCCCAUCACUUCGUGAUAAGCCUGGGAAACUGGGUCUAAUACCGGAUAGGACGAUGUGUUGGAUGCCAUUGUGUAAAGUUUUUUCGGUUUGGGAUGAGCUCUCGGCCUAUCAGCUUGUUGGUCGGGUAUUGGCCUACCAAGGCCUAGACGGGUAGCCGGCAUGAGAGGGUCUACGGGCACAUUGGGACUGCGAUACGGACCAGAAUGGUAUGGGAGGCAGCAGGCGGGAAUCUUGCGCAGUGGGCGCAAGCGUGAUGCAGCGGCGCUGGGUGCGGGAUGCCGGCCUUCGAGUUGUAAACUACUUUCGCUAGGGACGAAGAGCACGUGACGGUACCUAGAGAAGAAGCACCGGCUAACUACGUG
rnacentral:rRNA from 1 species